UCUUAUGGAUGAGCAAAGAAAGUAGUUUCUUGAGAUAGAAUCUAUUCCUGGUGAAGGUGUCAUAAAGA
rnacentral:pre_miRNA from 1 species